UGUCGUACCUAGCAACGUAUGAGAAGGUUAAUAAUUCUAUGAAGCCAUUGCAAAUAUUUCGUGUUACAAUGGAUUUUAUAGCUAGUUCAAAAUCAUGGAGCCAAGGGCUUUACUUCUGGCAGCAACGUGAGGUCAAGGUCUCCAAGGAGGAAAGGUUGCUCUAUAAAGAAACAUUUCCAGUAGUGAUUUGUGAUUCAUAUGCAC
rnacentral:misc_RNA from 1 species